rnacentral:lncRNA from 1 species
AUGACUGCAGGAGUCAAUUGGAUACCAUGCAGAGCUUUGUUGCGGAUUUGGGGCAGCAGAUCUCCCAGCUGCAGCAGCAGAAGGAAAAGCAGGAGGCUGUGGUCAAGCAACUGCAAGGAGCAGCUUCCAGGAGCAGAUCCAGGAGCAGAUCCACAGGCUGUCAGCACAGAUCCGGGACAUAUGGAGCAGCAGUUCUGGUGGGAGCACAGCGAUGCCCUCCAGUGCAGCCAUGGCCCUGAGCCUCCUCGUGACGCUGCUCACUGCAAAGUGGCUGCACUGAGCACAGCGACACGGACCCGGGUCGCCCCUGUCAGUGUGGGGCCAUGGGGAAACCAGGGGGAGAUGGUUUGCCAAGUGCUGGCCCGAGGGGUGAGAUGGGACAAGGCACGUUCAGGGGACAGCGGUGCCACACGGUUCGGUGGGUCUAAACUGAUUUCCAAUAAAACUUCAUGCAAAUCCAAAGCGUUCUGCUGCUCCAGUGUCCUUUGGGGUGGCGGAUGGCGCAGCCCAACAGCCUGGUUUUGUCCAGGGGCUGAGCAUCCUCCCACGCACAACACAAACCACACCACCAUGGGCUGUGACCGGAGAGAAACCACCGCCUGGAGCAACCGGGCACAGUGUGUGGCACUGUCCCACGUCCCCAGCAUGGACCCUGCAGUGUCCAGAGCCACGCUGAAGGCAAUGGGGCUGUGCACACUGCUGGUGCUGCUGGUGGCGGCGGUGACAGCGGCGGUGGCGGUGUUGCUGUGGCGCUCAGAGGCACUGGGGAAGCUGCAAGGCUGCCAGGAGCGGGCGGCCAACGAGAGCCGUGUGCUGGAAAUGCGAGUGGCACAGCUGGAGAGGGAACUCGACCGACUGCAGCACGUGGCUGAUGAGAGACAGAGGGAGGAGGAUGCGCUGCGCCGGGAGCUCAGCCGAGUGCGCAAGGAUGGAGAGAAGCUCAGCUCCAGCCUGCGGUCCUGCCGGAUGCAGGCGGUAGGUGUGUGGGGUCCUUGGGCAUCAUUUCCCUGCUAUGGGGUUGUAUACUUGGGGAGAGUGAUGCUGGGCUGAGAAGGGGCCCCUGAGGAUGCUCCGUCUCCAGGGUGGUUUGGUUGCUGGGGAGCCUCAGCCCUCGGUGGGGUAUGGAGAGCUGCUGUCCGGUUCCCUGUGCCCAGCUUGGGAUGGCUAUUCUUAGCAGUGCCCAAACUGAGCUGCUCCACACACAUAUAAUUACUGCAUCCCAAAGCAGCAGUGGAGGCUGCAGGCUGGUGUGGAGCUCCUCUCCUCGGGGGUAUUUUUAGCAGCUGGGAAAGGGCUCGGCCCUGCACUGCGGCCAGAGGAAGAGGGGCCCACCUCUCCCCCCAUCCGGCCGGACAAUGGCCCAGAGGGGCUGGAAACGCUCUGGUGUUCAGGGCUGGCGCCGGCUGUGGGGUCCCAGUGGGAGGUGCUGCUGUCCAGCAGGAGCGCCUGGCCCCUCCAGGAGCGCAUGGCUGGGCAGGGGGCUCUGUGUGCCUCAGUGAGUUGCAGACCUUUUGGGUCUCUAUGUGCAUUCUCACCAAGACCAGGCACCAGCUGGCCCUUUGGUGUGUGAAUUUCCCCCAAAUCCAUCCCCAAACCCUUGGAGAAACCUUCCCUGUGUGACAACGGGACACAAAGCCACCAAGAGUACAGGGAUGGCUCUGGAGACACCGGGGAGGAUGACAGCGAGGCAGGGGCAGGCUGUGCCCCAUCUCAGUGCCACGGUGUCCCCAGGCCAGGCUGGAAGCCAACAUCACAGCGCUGCAGGAUGAGCUGGAGGGGCUGCGGCGUGACAGGGCUGAGCUGUCCCACAGGAACACAGCACUGCAAG